rnacentral:rRNA from 1 species
AUUGAACGCUGGCGGCAGGCCUAACACAUGCAAGUCGAACGAGUGGCGGACGGGUGAGUAAUGUCUGGGAAACUGCCCGAUGGGGGGGGAUAACUACUGGAAACGGUAGCUAAUACCGCAUACCAUCGGAUGUGCCCAGAUGGGAUUGGCUAGUGGGUGGGGUAAAGGCUCACAUAGGCGACGAUCCCUAGCUGGUCUGAGAGGAUGACCAGCCACACUGGAACGGAGACACGGCCCAGAUUCUUACGGGAGGCAGCAGUGGGGAAUAUUGCACAAUGGGCGCAAGCCGGAUGCAGCCAUGCCGCGUGGAGGAAGAAGGCCUUCGGGUGGUAAAGUACUUUCAGCGGGGAGGCGGUACCCGCAGAAGAAGCACCGGCUAACUCCGUGCCAGCAGCCGCGGUAAUAC